UACGUAGGGUCCGAGCGUUGUCCGGAGUUACUGGGCGUAAAGCGCGCGCAGGCGGUCCGCGAGGUGUCACGUGAAAGCCCCGGGCUCAACUCGGGAGGGUCGUGGCAAACCGGCGGACUUGAGGCCGGUAGAGGUGGGUGGAACUCCUGGUGGAGUGGUGAAAUGCGCAGAUAUCAGGAGGAACACCGGUGGCGAAGGCGGGUCUCUGGGCCGAUACUGACGCUGAGGAGCGAAAGCGUGGGGAGCGAACAGG
rnacentral:rRNA from 1 species